UACGUAGGGCGCGAGCGUUGUCCGGAAUUAUUGGGCGUAAAGAGCUCGUAGGCGGCCUGUUGCGUCAAUUGUGAAAGCCCGGGGCUUAACCCCGGGUCUGCAGUCGAUACGGGCAGGCUAGAGUGUGGUAGGGGAGAUCGGAAUUCCUGGUGUAGCGGUGAAAUGCGCAGAUAUCAGGAGGAACACCAGUGGCGAAGGCGGAUCUCUGGGCCGUUACUGACGCUGAGGAGCGAAAGCGUGGGGAGCGAACAGG
rnacentral:rRNA from 1 species